UUGUAGAUAUAAAAUAUUUUAAAAAUAAAUUUUAAUUUAUUUUUAUAUAUUUCAUUACUCUGACUAUUAAUCAAAACAAUUUUAAAAAAUAAUUUAAUAAUUAAAUUAAUUUAAAUAAAAAUAAUUUAAAUUGGUAUAUGUUGCGAUAUAAAUUUUUAUAAGAAGUUAUUAGUAAACAAAUUAUUUUAUAAAGGCAUAUGUGAAAAAAAUUAGAAAAAAAAAUUAUUUAAACAGUUUAUAAAAUUUUAUAUAAGUUAAAGGUUUAGUAAAUUUAAUGGAUUUAUAUAGUAACGUGUAGUUGUUAGUUAUUUAAUUUAUUUAGAAAAAAUAAUAAAAAUUAUUGAAUUUGAUCGAAUUUUUUUAUAAAACUAAAU
rnacentral:lncRNA from 1 species